rnacentral:rRNA from 1 species
GAUGAACGCUGGCGGUAUGCUUAACACAUGCAAGUCGAACGGACACUCCGGAGUUAGUGGCGGAGGGGGGAGUAACGAGUGAGAAUCUGGCUUUGGGUACGGGACAACUACUGGAAACGGUGGCUAAGACCGGUUGUGCCGAGAGGGAAUAGAGAAAUUGCCUGAAGAUGAGCUCGCGUCUGCUUAGCUAGUUGGGGGGGGAAAGGCCCAACAAGGCAGCGAUGAGUGGGUGGUCUGAGAGGAUGACCAGCCACACGGGGACUGAGACGCGGCAGAGGCCCAUGGGGGGGACAGGAGGGGAGAAUUGUCCACAAGGGGCGAGCGCGUGACGGAGCCAUACCGCGUGGGAGAAGGGGGCUCUUGGGUUGAAAAGCUCUUUUCUUAGGGAAGAAGAGAAUGACGGUACCUAAGGAAUCAGCACCGGCUAACUACGCG